rnacentral:tRNA from 1 species
GUGUGCGUAGCUCAGAGGCAGAGCAUCUGAUUGUGAUUCAGAAGGUCGGGAUUUCGAAAUUCCUCGUUCACCCA